rnacentral:tRNA from 1 species
UCCGGAGUAGUUCAAUGGGAGAACACUCGGCUUCGGACCGAGAGGGUGUUGGUUCGACUCCAACCUCCGGACC